CACGUAGGGCGCAAGCGUUGUCCGGAAUUAUUGGGCGUAAAGAGCUCGUAGGCGGUCUGUUGCGUCCGCUGUGAAAACCCGGGGCUUAACCCUGGGCUGGCAGUGGAUACGGACAGACUAGAGGUAGGUAGGGGAGAAUGGAAUUCCACGUGUAGCGGUGAAAUGCGUAGAGAUGUGGAGGAACACCAGUGGCGAAGGCGACUCUUUGGCCUGUAACUGACGCUGAGGCGCGAAAGCGUGGGGAGCAAACAGG
rnacentral:rRNA from 1 species